rnacentral:rRNA from 1 species
AGUGAACGCUGGCGGUAGGCCUAACGCAUGCAAGUCGAACGGCAGCACAGUAAGAGCUUGCUCUUACGGGUGGCGAGUGGCGGACGGGUGAGGAAUACAUCGGAAUCUACUUUUUCGUGGGGGAUAACGUAGGGAAACUUACGCUAAUACCGCAUACGACCUACGGGUGAAAGCAGGGGAUCUUCGGACCUUGCGCGAUUGAAUGAGCCGAUGUCGGAUUAGCUAGUUGGCGGGGUAAAGGCCCACCAAGGCGACGAUCCGUAGCUGGUCUGAGAGGAUGAUCAGCCACACUGGAACUGAGACACGGUCCAGACUCCUACGGGAGGCAGCAGUGGGGAAUAUUGGACAAUGGGCGCAAGCCUGAUCCAGCCAUACCGCGUGGGUGAAGAAGGCCUUCGGGUUGUAAAGCCCUUUUGUUGGGAAGGAAAAGCAGCAGGUUAAUACCCCGCUGUUCUGACGGUACCCAAAGAAUAAGCACCGGCUAACUUCGUG